UGGCGGCCAUAGCGGUCUGGAAACUCCUGUACCCAUCCCGAACACAGAAGAUAAGCAGGCCCACGUUCUGUACUGUACUGAGGCGCGCGAGCCCUUGGGAACUAUAGAUCGCUGCCAG
rnacentral:rRNA from 1 species